GGGGGGGGGGGGGGGGGGGGGGGGGGGGGGGAGGGGGGGGGGGAGGGCCGGGGGGGGUGGGGGGGGGGGGUGGGGAGCGGGUGGGUAGGAGGGGAGUCACCGGGCCUUGGAUGUGGGGUAAGUUCAGGGAACUGGGGCUAAUACCGGGUAGGAGCUCCUGCUGCGUGGUGGGGGGUGGAAAGUUGCGGCGGUGGGGGGUGGACUCGCGGCUUAUCAGCUUGUUGGUGGGGUAGUGGCUUACCAAGGCUUUGACGGGUAGCCGGCCUGAGAGGUUGACCGGCCACAUUGGGACUGAGAUACGGCCCAGACUCCUACGGGAGGCAGCAGUGGGGAAUAUUGCACAAUGGGCGGAAGCCUGAUGCAGCAACGCCGCGUGCGGGAUGACGGCCUUCGGGUUGUAAACCGCUUUCGCCUGUGACGAAGCGUGAGUGACGGUAAUGGGUAAAGAAGCACCGGCUAACUACGUG
rnacentral:rRNA from 1 species